rnacentral:rRNA from 1 species
UACGAAGGGGGCUAGCGUUGCUCGGAAUCACUGGGCGUAAAGCGCACGUAGGCGGCUUUUUAAGUCAGAGGUGAAAUCCUGGAGCUCAACUCCAGAACUGCCUUUGAUACUGGAGAGCUUGAGUCCGGGAGAGGUGAGUGGAACUGCGAGUGUAGAGGUGAAAUUCGUAGAUAUUCGCAAGAACACCAGUGGCGAAGGCGGCUCACUGGCCCGGAACUGACGCUGAGAUGCGAAAGCGUGGGGAGCAAACAGG